rnacentral:rRNA from 1 species
GAUGAACGCUGGCGGCGUGCCUAAUACAUGCAAGUCGAGCGAACAGACGAGGAGCUUGCUCCUCUGACGUUAGCGGCGGACGGGUGAGUAACACGUGGAUAACCUACCUAUAAGACUGGGAUAACUUCGGGAAACCGGAGCUAAUACCGGAUAAUAUAUUGAACCGCAUUGUUCAAUAGUGAAAGACGGUUUUGCUGUCACUUAUAGAUGGAUCCGCGCCGCAUUAGCUAGUUGGUAAGGUAACGGCUUACCAAGGCGACGAUGCGUAGCCGACCUGAGAGGGUGAUAGGCCACACUGGAACUGAGACACGGUCCAGACUCCUACGGGAGGCAGCAGUAGGGAAUCUUCCGCAAAGGGCGAAAGCCUGACGGAGCAACGCCGCGUGAGUGAUGAAGGUCUUCUGAUCGUAAAACUCUGUUAUUAGGGAAGAACAAAUGUGUAAGUAACUAUGCACGUCUUGACGGUACCUAAUCAGAAAGCCACGGCUAACUACGUG